CCAGGUAGCAUUCCUCACGGACAUCGGACCGCACGGCAGGAGACCGGAACAGAACCGAAAGUCGUUUGAGAUUAGCGUUCAAGCUUUGUUGGACAAGAUAGGAGCCUACGGCCCCGUGCCCUUCGCGUUUUCCGCAUCCCGAAGCCCAACAAGAACUCAUUGGCCACGGCAAUAACUCGGUGAGCAUUUGCCGGGGAAAACGAGUACCGUUUCCAUUUUCACCCUCGGCCAAACCGAACAAACGGGCAGCCUAAGGCGAACGGGGGAAGAUUGCCAUCCGAAUACCAUUGGGUAGGUAUGCCACACAGGAAACCGAAUGAAGGGCCAAUUAGAAAUUGUGCCGAAAAAUGAAGUGGAACGCACGGUUGGACGUCGCCGCACAAGGCCGGGAUCCAACC
rnacentral:misc_RNA from 1 species